UAACCAGGGGCGCUUGAGAGAACGCGGGUGAAGGAACUAGGCAAAAUGGUACCGUAACUUCGGGAGAAGGUACGCUCUUGAUGGUGAAGUCCCUCGCGGAUGGAGCUGACGAGAGUCGCAGAUACCAGGUGGCUGCAACUGUUUAUUAAAA
rnacentral:rRNA from 1 species